GCUAUGUCCCAGACACGUGCUGUAAGGGCGUGCCGGGCGUGGUCCCCUACAAGGCUGCUAACAUGACGGAGUGUGGACGGGAAGCAGCACCACAGUCACCGAUACCUCCUGAUGACAGGACGCAACUUCGCUCAAGGGGGUGUUUCCAAGCUAUUAUCACGUGGCUAGAAAAUCGAAGUGUCAUUCUUAUAUGCGUCGUAAUAGGAAUAACUAUAAUUGAGAUUCUAGGCAUUAUAUUCGCUGUUUGCCUGUGUCGAAAUAGGACAGAAUAUUACGAGUAGCUGGUCUAGCUAAAUCUAAGAAUCAGGACAUAUUGUUUUUAAUUCCAACAUACCACCGAAGUUGUUUUAAUCUGUGUGAUGAAGUUUUAUAAUGGAAUGCAAGACACAUCUUUGGAAGUAUAUAUUCUUAAGUUAAGUUAUCGUUGAAUCAACACCAAUACUUAAAGAGGAUUUCUUUCUAAUGGGUUGAAAAGGGAGAGUGUACAGUUUUAUUGCAAUCACCUUCGCUGCACAUAUUGUACACAAACGUAAUACAUCUAAAGUCAAUGUUUGCUAAAGCAAAAAGAAAAACCUCCAAAGUAAACAAAAACCUCCAAAGUAAACAAAAACCUCCAAAGGGUGAAUGCGUGUGUAUUCCCUUCCUUGGUCCUCCCAUGACAAGAUAUUAUUGCAGUGUGUUUGUUCAAGUUUAUAAAAAACACAUUCACCUUUAUCAAAAGUUCUGACCUAAGUUAGUAAACGUAUUCAAGAAA